UACGUAGGGGGCAAGCGUUGUCCGGAUUUAUUGGGCGUAAAGAGCGUGUAGGCGGCCAUGCAGGUCAGCUGUGAAAACUCGAGGCUCAACCUCGAGACGUCGGUUGAAACCGUAUGGCUAGAGUCCGGAAGAGGAGAGUGGGAAAUUCCCCGGUGUAGCGGUGAAAAUGCGCAGAUAUCGGGGAAAGAACACCCUAUGGGCGAAAGGCAGCUCUCUGGGACGGUACUGGACGCUGA
rnacentral:rRNA from 1 species